rnacentral:SRP_RNA from 1 species
GCCAGGUGGUAUGGUGGCUCACACCUGUAGUCCUAGCUACUGGGGAAGCUGAGAAUCCCUUGAGCCCAGGAGUUCUGGGCUGUAGUGUGCUAUGCCCAUCAGGUGUCCGUACUAAGUUCAGCGUGAAUAUUCCAGGAGCAUAGGACCACUAGGUUGCCUACGGAGGGGUGAACCAGCCCAGGUCAGAAACAGAGUAGGUUGAAACUUGUGUGCUGAUCAGUAGUGGGAUCACACUUGUAAACACCCACUGCACUCCAGCCUGGGCAACACAGUGAGACCCCAUCUCU